GGGGGCGAUCGGUUUCGACGGGGACGCAGAAGGAUUGGUUGCGUGACCGUCGGCCUGAGCACGACGUAAAUACGUUCAGGAACCCAUAACAGCCAACGAUAACGCUGUUGCUCUUGCGGCCUGAAAACCCUUGAGCCGUCGAAACCGCGAGCCCGUCAGCGCUUUCGGAAUAGACGUCAUUUGAGCUGACUGGCUUCCCCGGGGGUGACCCGACGGGGAGGUGAGACAAAGGGACACUAGCGGUUGGGCGAGCCUGUUCGUGGGCGCAAGCUUCUGCGAAAUCUCAAAUCACGAAAUACGCACGUAGAUGCCUCUCUGGAACGUUCUCGGACGCGGGUUCAAUUCCCGCCGCCUCCACCA
rnacentral:tmRNA from 1 species